UAUAUGUAUAAAACUUUAAAAGAUCCUUUUUCUUCAUCAACAUUCGUAUGAGAACAUCAGGAAAGUGCUUUUGAUUUUCUCUUGGCAAGACAUUUUCCUAGAGAAGUAGUCCACAGUCCCAACCAUUAGCCCCAACUCUGAGGGACAGGAAGUCCCCAUCCAUGGCCAGGCAGACCCGGGUCCAAGCUCUCAGCAUGGUCCCUUUUCUGAGCCAGGUCAAGUCCUUCCACCCGACUGGUCCUCAAAUCCUCUACCUGCUAGAUGGGCCAUUGUGUGCCCAGCCUCCCUGGACGUUACAAGAGCAGUGGUGAGGAAAGCUAGCUCCCUGGCCCCCAGGCCGAGAGGAAAAGAAUCCUGGAUUAAGCCAGAGGCUGAGUUCUCUGGAGGUCUGGGGCACUGACGGGUUACUGGGUAGAGGGCCAGCUUAGGGGAGGGUGUGGUCUGAAGGUAUGGGUAGGGCAAGACCUGACUCCACUCAGUGAUGUGUCCCCAGUGAGGCAUCCUCCCUAGAACCUGUAAGUAACAGGAAGACCCUACCCUGAACAGAGCUCUAGGGAUGAGGGGAGGGUUUGAACCCCUGCUCGCAGGCCGAGGCCACCCCAGUGAAAGCUUGGCUGGACAAUAUCGCCCUACCGUGGAAAUGUCGUUAAGGACUAAGUCCUUUAAAAAAAACUACUGGGAGAAUUUUGUCUCAGGCCUAGAGCCUAUAAUCACUGGCUUCUCCCGGCCGUUAGUUUGAUUUUGUCUUAUGGAUAUGCGAAAUUUUGAAACAAUUGUUUUGUCUUUGCUUUGGCUACUGGGAAGCUCCCUAUCAUACUUAUGACCCAUCUCUCCCUCCUGUAUAGAACUUUAUCGUAUUUGUUUCUGUGUAGCAACCCAACCAGUUGUACAUUCUUUUUUUCACUGAUCCUUCAUCGACUUAUUUUUUGUCCUUUGUAUGUUUUUCCCAAAAGCGACAUUGCAUUAUUUUUGGAAGGAAAUAGCUAUGAGUAAAUAAACAAACGGCAUUGUGAAAAAAAAAAACGGUACCUACACCAUUAACUUUAUUUAUAAAUUACGUGCCUAUAUCACUGCUGCUCUAUGUCUAACAUCAUACAAGCAAAGCCGGCUUUCUCAUUUGCUAGAUAAUAAAUAUCUGUAGGGACAAAUUCUUGUAUUUUCUUCCCAGAUUAGGGUUGCCAAACUUAGCAAAUAAAAAUACAGAAUCCCCAGUUAAAUCUGAAUUUCAGAUAAACAAUGGACACCAUGUGGGGGUAUAAAUAUUGAAAAACGAUUUGUUGUUUAUCCAAAAUUCAAAUGUAACUGGGCAUCCUGUAUUUUACCUGGCAACUUUAUCCCAGGUCCCCAGGAAUCUGACACCAAGUAAUCUGAGGCACUGUCAGAUUCUCAAAACACGAAACACCAUGGAGAAGGUCUCUGGGGGACACUAAUUUGUCCUGUUUUUGUUUUGUUUUUUUCUUCUUUUUGAGACAGAGUCUUGCUGUGUUGUGCAGGCAGGAGUGCAGUGGCGCAAUCGCGGCUCACUGCAACCUCUGCCUCCCAGGUUCAAGUGAUUCUCCUAUCUCAGCCUCCCGAGUAGCUGAGAUUACAGGCGCCCUCCACCACGCCUGGCUAAUUUUUGUAUUUUUAGCAAAGACGAGGUUUCACCAUCUUGACCAGGCUGGUCUCGAACUCCUGACCUCAAGUGAUCUGCCCACCUUGGCCUCCCAAAGUGCUGGGAUUAUUGGUGUGAGCCACCGCGCCUGGAUGCUAAUUUGUCUUUAAUAUAAUUUAUGGGCUGAAUUAUGUCCACACCCACUGCCAAAUUUUUACACUGAAGUCCUAGCCCCCAGUAUCUCAGAAUGUGACUGCAUUUGGAGAAAGGUCUUGAAAGAGGAGGCUAAGUUACAACAAGGAUGGAGUGGGGCCUAAUCAAAUCAACUGGUGUCCUUAGAAGAGGAAAUAUGGACACACAGAGGGACACCAGGGAUGCCCACACACAGAGCAAAGACCCUGUGAGGACACAGCAAGAAAUGCUUCAGAAGAAACCAAACCUGUCGACACCUUGAUCUUGGACUUUCAGCCUCCAGAACUCUGAGAAAAUACAUAUCAGCUGUUUAAGCCACCUAGUCUGUGAUAUUUUGUUAUGGAAGCCCUAGAAAACGAACGUAUUUCUCUUUAACAUUUGAAAGGUCUUAAGUGUUUUUGGAUCACGCACUUCCCUAAAAUCUGAUGAAACCGAAGGUCAUCCUCCUCUGAAAAUACACAUACUGUACCUACACACAUUUGUGUGAAUUUCAGUCUUUGAAGCCCAUGUGGAGACUCCCUAGCCUUGCCCCAAGGAUAAGAUCUCUCUGCCGUCAGGCUUCCUGCCUGAGAUUUCUUAGUGUUUCCACCCCCAUACAGUGUCUGAGGCUCUAAAAUCAGACCAUUCCCCGCAACCGCCCCCAUGUACCUGGUAAACUUCUUACGACUAGGUCUACAACGUUUCCUCCGUCUCCAAUAGCUAGCACCAGUUAAGUAAACAGUAGGUGCUCAGUAAAUGCUUGCUGACUGACCAUGCCUCAGUCUUUGCCCUUCACUUACUUAUAAUGGCUGACUUCAUUUCCUCUUGUUUCUUG
rnacentral:lncRNA from 1 species